AUGAUAUUAAGAUAUAUUAAAUUACCAAGUUACACAACACUAGAUCAUAUAUACAUAUUUUUGGAAGAUAUGAUACCAAUAUAUGUAACAUAUUUAUUUUUAACACAUACAAAAACAUCCUUACAAAUGUUUCAAUUAUUUGAUUGUACUUAUGUUCAAUAUACUAAAAAUUUAGGAAAAUAUGUACUCACUAGAGCUGCUAGUAUUGAAUGUAAUAUAAAUCAAGGAGAAUAUUUACAGUUAUUUAUUUUAGGUAUAUUAGGAUCUUGUAUAUGGUCUUUAGGAAUACCAAUUAUAUGUUUUUUAGUACUUUAUGUUAAUAGGCACAAUUUAUUUCAUAAAAAUGUUUUAAUAAAAUAUGGUUUCUUACAUAAUGGUUAUGUUUUAAAUAGAUGGUAUUGGGAAACAGUUGUUUUUGCAAGAAAAAUAUGUAUAUUAUUUAUCACUACAAUUACUAUUUUCCAUUCAGAUAAAAUAAACGCCUUUAGAAUAUUACCUGUUAUUUUUGUAGCUUUGUUUGCUUUAUCAGCACAUUUUACUUGUCAAUCAUUCGAUAAAAGAAAUUUUAGUAUAUUAAAUAAAUUAGAAAAUUGUGGAUUAUAUUUAUGGGUAUUUACCAUUAUAGUUAUUUCAAUAUUAUUAUCUAUGCAUUUAAAUAAAAUCAAUAAUUUUAUUAUUAUUUUUAUUUUGUUUACAUUCCAUAUUAUUUAUUGUAUUAAAUUAUGUAAACAGUUCUGUUUUGAAUGUCUAUAUAAUUUUAAAAAAACCAAAGCCUUUAAUAAUGUACCAAUAAUUAAAAACUAUAUGAAACUAUUAUUACAUAUUUUUAUCGAAAAAAAGGCCAAACAAGAGCCUUUGGUUUAUUAUGAUAAACAAGAAAAGCAAUUAGCUAUAAUGAUACCACACACCGAAGAUAUAAACAAACCAAAUAUAAAAAAUUAUCGAAAAAAAUCUAUGACAACAUCUAAAAGUAUAGAUAAACAGAAAAAUAGUCUAUUUUCUGACAUGUUUAAAAAUAUUUUCCAAGUUGUGCAUAAACUUGGGAACAAAAAACGUAGUUAUUAUGAAGAACUAACAAAAGACAGUUACUCUAAUGUUGUUAGUAGAAAUUGUCAAAAUCAGUACCAAAAUCAGUACCAAAAUCAAUACCAAAAUCAGUACCAAAAUCAGUACCAAUCUGAAUGUCAGAGCAAAAGUUUUAAUGAACACUAUGGUAGUUGCAAUUACAUAAACAAAGGUUACUUACAAAACAAUCACAUAACUAAGGAAACGUUUCAAGAUAUGAUGACCAACAUAAAUGAAAAUAAUAUAACCAAUAACAGUUGUAAUGACAAUUUUAAUAAUAAUGAAACGUAUAGAAAUAGUAAUAAACUAUCAUAUAACUACGAGUAUGAUAAUGGUGAUGAUGGUGAUGAUGAUGAUGAUGGUGAUGAUGAUGAAGUUAUAAAUGAUCAAAGGGUAAAGUUUUGCUCUUUUUUUAAAACAUACUAA
rnacentral:lncRNA from 1 species